rnacentral:rRNA from 1 species
GAGAUAGUCCUUUCUCUUCGGAGACCUCGGUGACAGGUGGUGCAUGGUUGUCGUCAGCUCGUGUCGUGAGAUGUUGGGUUAAGUCCCGCAACGAGCGCAACCCUUAUUGUUAGUUGCUACGCAAGAGCACUCUAGCGAGACUGCCGUUGACAAAACGGAGGAAGGUAGGGACGACGUCAAAUCAUCAUGCCCCUUAUGUCCUGGGCCACACACGUACUACAAUGGUGGUAAACAGAGGGAAGCAAGACCGCGAGGUGGAGCAAAUCCCUAAAAGCCAUCCCAGUUCGGAUCGCAGGCUGCAACCCGCCUGCGUGAAGUUGGAAUCGCUAGUAAUCGCGGAUCAGCAUGCCGCGGUGAAUACGUUCCCGGGCCUUGUACACACCGCCCGUCACACCAUGAGAGUCGGGAACACCCGAAGUCCGUAGCCUAACCGCAAGGGGGGCGCGGCCGAAGGUGGGUUCGAUAAUUGGGGUGAAGUCGUAACAAGGUAGCCGUAUCGGAAGGUGCGGC